rnacentral:tRNA from 1 species
UGGCUCAGUGGUAGAGCACUUGCCUUGCAUGCCUGAGGCCCUGGGUUCGAUCCCCCAG